rnacentral:rRNA from 1 species
UAUGGGGGGGGCAAGCGUUGUUCGGAAUUACUGGGCGUAAAGGGCUCGUAGGCGGCCAACUAAGUCAGACGUGAAAUCCCUCGGCUUAACCGGGGAACUGCGUCUGAUACUGGAUGGCUUGAGUUUGGGAGAGGGAUGCGGAAUUCCAGGUGUAGCGGUGAAAUGCGUAGAUAUCUGGAGGAACACCGGUGGCGAAGGCGGCAUUCUGGACUAACACUGACGCUGAGGAGCGAAAGCCAGGGGAGCAAACGGG